AGAGUUUGAUCCUGGCUCAGAACGAACGCUGGCGGCAUGCCUAACACAUGCAAGUCGAACGAGACCUUCGGGUCUAGUGGCGCACGGGUGCGUAACGCGUGGGAAUCUGCCCUUGGGUUCGGAAUAACUCAGAGAAAUUUGAGCUAAUACCGGAUGAUGACGUAAGUCCAAAGAUUUAUCGCCCAGGGACGAGCCCGCGUAAGAUUAGCUAGUUGGUGGGGUAAAGGCCUACCAAGGCGACGAUCUUUAGCUGGUCUGAGAGGAUGAUCAGCCACACUGGGACUGAGACACGGCCCAGACUCCUACGGGAGGCAGCAGUGGGGAAUAUUGGACAAUGGGCGAAAGCCUGAUCCAGCAAUGCCGCGUGAGUGAUGAAGGCCUUAGGGUUGUAAAGCUCUUUUACCAGGGAUGAUAAUGACAGUACCUGGAGAAUAAGCUCCGGCUAACUCCGUGCCAGCAGCCGCGGUAAUACGGAGGGAGCUAGCGUUGUUCGGAAUCACUGGGCGUAAAGCGUGCGUAGGCGGUGACUCAAGUCAGAGGUGAAAGCCUGGAGCUCAACUCCAGAACUGCCUUUGAAACUAGGUCGCUAGAAUGUCGGAGAGGUGAGUGGAAUUCCGAGUGUAGAGGUGAAAUUCGUAGAUAUUCGGAAGAACACCAGUGGCGAAGGCGGCUCACUGGACGACUAUUGACGCUGAGGCACGAAAGCGUGGGAGCAACAGGAUUAGAUACCCUGGUAGUCCACGCCGUAAACGAUGAUAACUAGCUGCCAGGGCUCAUGGAGCUUUGGUGGCGCAGCUAAC
rnacentral:rRNA from 1 species